rnacentral:rRNA from 1 species
GACGAACGCUGGCGGCGUGCUUAACACAUGCAAGUCGAACGGAAAGGCCCUGCUCUUGCGGGGUGCUCGAGUGGCGAACGGGUGAGUAACACGUGAGUAACCUGUCCUUGACUUUGGGACAACUUCAGGAAACUGGGGCUAAUACCGGAUAGGAGCUCCUGCUGCAUGGUGGGGGUUGGAAAGAUUCGGCGGUUGGGGAUAGACUCGCGGCUUAUCAGCCUGUUGGUGGAGUAGUGGCGUACCAAGGCUUCGACGGAUAGCCGGCAUGAGAGGGUGACCGGCCACAUUAGGCCUAAGAUACGGAGCAGUCGGCAACGGGACGCAAUGGUGGAAAGUAUGACGGAGUAAGCGGGAGCCAGAGACAACAGCGCCGGGAGCGGAAUAACGGCCUUCGAGUGAAAAACCGAUGUGGAAGGAAACAAGGAGUUAGUGACGGUAAUGAGUAAAAAAGCCCCGGCUAACUACGUG